GCGGCCUAUCAGCUUGUUGGUGAGGUAAUGGCUCACCAAGGCGACGACGGGUAGCCGGCCUGAGAGGGCGACCGGCCACACUGGGACUGAGACACGGCCCAGACUCCUACGGGAGGCAGCAGUGGGGAAUAUUGGGCAAUGGAGGGAACUCUGACCCAGCGACGCCGCGUGCGGGAUGAAGGCCUUCGGGUUGUAAACCGCUUUCAGCAAGGAAGAAGUGAAAGUGACGGUACUUGCAGAAGAAGCACCGGCUAACUAUGUGCCAGCAGCCGCGGUAAUACAUAGGGUGCAAGCGUUGUCCGGAAUUAUUGGGCGUAAAGAGCUCGUAGGUGGUUCGUCACGUCGGAUGUGAAACUCUGGGGCUUAACCCCAGACCUGCAUUCGAUACGGGCGAGCUAGAGUGUGGUAGGGGAGACUGGAAUUCCU
rnacentral:rRNA from 1 species